UUUUUUUUUUUUUUUUUUUUUUUUUUUGGUCUUUUUCGUUUUUAUUGGUACCAGGGAUCAAACUCACUCACAACUGCCACUAUUUAGUGGCGCUUAUGCCACUGAGCUAAACCCCCAGCCCCCAUUCAUUCAUUUUAAAAAAUUAUUUAACAUACAUCUUGUGUUGGCAUGUGCAUCUAAGAAGACUGAAGGGCAUAAAGUAGCUUUGAGCAGGACCCUUAACUGAAAAUAGAGGGUCUGCCAAAUGGGAGGUUGGAGAGAACCCCAGAGAACCAAUUCUAGAGGAAGGCAGGUUGCUGACUGAGUGACCAUAGCGGGCUAAAGACAUCUGUACCAUGGCCGGACCUCCAUCACUGGAGGGAGACAUUUCAACCUGACAUAAAAAUAAACACGAACUUGAAGCCAAAGCUGUUAUGAUUAAGUAUGUAUUGUCUGAACAGAGAAUUCUGGAAGCUUUGUAUUUACUGGGGAAAGACAAUGGCAAUUAGAGUCCAGCCAUCCGAGCCAGGGACCAGCAAUGGGGUGGGGGGAGGCUCCCAUAGUCGAUGGUUUUCUUUCUUUCAGGGACAAAAAGAGCAUGAAAGGUCAGAAAUACUUUAAAUGUGUGUAUGUGCAUGUGAAAGAUUUUGAUUCGGGAUCCCAACUUGACCACGAGAGAGGCGUUUUGAAUUUUUCAUAGAGUAUUAUCUAGAAUCAUUUGCUUGCCAAAGAUCUCUAAGGAACAACAAAAAUAUUCCAUGCUUUGUGAUUAAAGGGAUUUCCCAGUAUAAAAACGCUUAUUUUCAACACUGUCUAAUCGGUUUUCAGCCUAUGGCGUCAAGGGUCCUGUUCCUCUCACACCCAGCUCUGUCUGAAAGCAUUUUGCUUUUCACACUUUCAGACAGGUUGAAUCUAUAUACUACUACCUUUUUUUUUUACCAGGGAUCAAACUCAUGACCUUGCACUUAUCAGGAAGGCACGAUACCACUGAGCUAAAUCCCUGGCCCUAUAUUUCAUUACCUUAAACCAGAAAAUUAAACAGCAUUUCUUAAAACCCCAACUGAUUUCCCCAGGUAUCCCUGAAACAUGCUCAUAAUCUGUGGAAGAAAUCCAUGGAGGUUUCUGAAAGGUAUGCAAAAAUUUGAAACGCUGAUUCCAUACAAUGAGCUCAUUAGUCAGAACAUGCAAACGCUGAGUGUAACUGUGUUGCCUAGGAUCAGAUAAAAUCGUGCUGUCCUUUCCACUGCCUGGCUUUUGCUUUUUUCCUCUGGCAUAAAGUUUUUCCCACUCUCUGCUUGUUGUUUAGUAAGUGGACCUUGGCGUGCCUCUUUGGCUCAUGUACUUUUUUUCAUAGACUUUUUGAGAAUUCUCUUUUUCACAGGCUCAAAAGCACAGAGAUGAUGACAGCGAGAACACACACACACAUUUAAGCAGAAAUGGCACAAGCGAAAGAGAAGCCAUCUCCCAGGUGAAGCUGUGGAGAGAAGUUUCAGAGCGCCCUGUAGUCUCGUGCCCAGACUUGCACUCAAAUUACAACAGGCACCUUUGUGGAAAUGACUUCACUUCUCUGUCCUGGCCAACGGAUGAUGCUGGCCACCCACGUGGUGCCAGGCUUGGUGCCAGGGACUGGAGUUCCGGAGUCCAGGUGAUGCAGACGCAGCCCGAGGCUGAGGUGCAAGGGCUGCCAGAGAAGAGCUUGUGUCCUUGACCUUUGCAUGUCUGAAAUCGACCUUCCCUGCUGGAGAAUGCGUUGGUUCUCCACGGCACCCCUUUCUCUCCAAGCCAACAUCACCCACCAUCCCCAAAGCACCCUCAGCAAGACGGCAGCACGAUCUGGCCACUUGUGCUGCUCUUCCCUCCAAAUAUGAUGCUUCAAAUCAAAAAUAAGUGAUUGUGUCACAAUAAGUCUUUUCUGUUUUGUAGAGGAAGUAAUGAAAUGAUGACACAUAAAAGCAAAUGAAGUAACUUUCUCCUGCUAAACUCUAUCCUUUAAUUCUACCCACUUCUCCACCUAAGCCUAUUUUUUCUUAUUUCGUAAAAUCAGGCUUUUGCUUUCUUAGGGGAAGUUUCCACUGUCAAAGAGUUCCAGUUUCUCAGAGGCCCAGAAAGUCAGGAUUUCUUUCGUUCUGUGCUUUGAACUGCUGAUUGUCCCAGGACCAAAAGCCUGCUGUGACUUCCUUGCAUACUUCCCAGGGAAAAGAUUCUUUACUUCCCUCUGUUCCUUGAAUAGAUUCUGAUGCGUGUUAGCCAGCCAGCUAGAUUUCCAGAGGAAAUCUUGCUGGUCCCUGUGAAAGUGACUUGCCCUGUCAUUUUCUUUUAUAACUAGAAGAGCAAACAGCAGGAAGACAACAGCAAGUACCCGCCAGCUCUUUAUCUGCAGUCAGAAGAAUUCUGCCCCCACUCAGGUACCUGUUCCCAUCCAGAGCCCAUGCAUGCACCCACCCGUCUUGUGCUUGCAAACCCCUGAGGGCAGUGCUGACUGUGGAGAGCUGAUGCAACCCCCAGACCAAGGGCCCUGUGACUGCCAUGCCAGACAUGUGUCGGUCAUUUACAUUUUAAUAGUUCAUUUAAAAACCAAAGUAAACAAGCAAGUUGAUUUGAAUAACACUCUUUGUGCAACCUAAUGCCACCAAAUUAUUAUCAUUAGUGUGUAAUCAGGAUAAAAAUAUUGAGACAGUUUAGAUUUUUUUCUUCUAAGUGUAUAUAAUGCACUUCCAACUUGCCAGAUUUCAGUGCGUGAUUUUAAUGGAAAAUUGAUGACUUAAAAAAUGUUAUUUUAUAAAAUUUACACUUGGAAGAGUGACAUACAUAAGGUAUUCCAAACAUGCUUAGAAGUUUUCUAUUAGCUGAAAAAUCAUUGAUAUCUGAUGUUUGCAUACACAUUGACAAAACUGGUCCAUCUUUUUAAUAGUAAUCAUUUUGACUAUGUCUUACCUAGGUGAGGGAAAUUUAUUAUGGGGAAGUCAAAACAGUAUGGAUCAAUUAAAGCAGAUCUUUAUCAUUGUCAAUCCUUCCUUUACAUUUUUCUCACUCUUUUACAUCCAAUUUACAUAAUGCUAUCCAUCAUUGUUAAAAUCCUCCGUGUAUGCACUCAUGUAAGAAAACCGCAUAGAUCAUUGCUACUUAUUAAAUUACAAAGUUAGAAUUUAAACUUCCACAUCUGUGUAGCUACACCACAGCGAAGCUUUUCUUUUCCUGGAAAGCUCAAAUUUGACUCAUUCAGAUACAGGAAUGUUGAUGUGGAAAUCACAGUAGCAAGAUUUGUCUUCAUGUAUGUAUGUAUAUAUGUAUUCAUUUUUGUACUGAGAAUUGAACUCAGGGCCUUGCAUUUGGCAGUCAGUGCUGUGCUGCUGAGCCAUAUCCCCAGCCCCUUUAUUUUUAACUUCUUGAAAAAUAUGCUUUCUUUUCUUUUCCUGUUUUUCUUUCCUUGAGACAGGGUUUCAGUAUGUAAUUCAGGCUGGCUUCAAACUCAAGUCAAUCCUCCUGUCUCUGCCUCCGGAGCGCUGGGCUUACAGGUGUGCACCACAAUGCCCAGACUGAUAUUCUUGAUUUUCAAAACAAUCUUGAAUUGGAGUCAGCAGUAUAGUAAAUCUUUGUAAAACUCUUCCCUAAUUCAAGCAAAGAACCUUGGCGAAGAGGUCCAGGAGCCAUUAAAUCCACUGUCUUCUACUUCUUUCAGCAAAACUUACAACGAUCCAUAAACUUACAACGACUCAUUGCAUUUGCAUGCAUACACUUAGCAACAGUAUCCAGGAUGUGUCUCAAGGAAUCAGCUUUAGAAAAUUGAACAUAAAUAUUUUUAAGCUGCAUCACACAGUGAAACAAAGAAAUAAAGGAAACAUCCAUUAGUCUUUAGAAAGAAUUCCAAUAAAUCUGGUUUUUUGGUCUAGCAUCGUUUAAAAAAUCAUUUAUUGUGUUAGAAACUAAUAUUUAAAUACCUACCCCAAAUUCCCCUCUGUCAGAGGUAAAGGACUGACAAAAUACCUAAACCAUGAGUUUGACACUUUUGGUCACAAAUAAACAAUAUUUCUUGGUAAAUUAAAAAGUGUUUUGGGACAAAACAUACCCAAAGUACUAACUGGGCAGUGUAUUUUAUGUUUCCAGACUCUUCUAAAGCAAAAAGAAAUCAAAGACUUAGACAGAAAGCUUGUGUUUUUCAGAAUUUGAAUUAAUUGAUCUUGUUAUUGUGAAGAUCUUGCAUUUUUUAAGCCACUGUGUUGGUAACUAAUUGAAGUUGCUUUUUAUGUGAAAUAUAAUUUUUAUUUUUUCCUCAAAAAAUUUCUGUAAUGGAAAUAAUUUCUUUUACUAUCUUUCCACCAAAAAUAUGUGUGCAAGUGUAUGUGUGUAUGUGAGAAUCACAGUAAGUUAAUAACUGACAAAGAACAAACUGGGACUGUUGAUAACAAAGUCUUUAAUUUUUAAAAUAAAAAAACUUAAUUUUUUUCUUAGAUUUUCAAUUUUAAUUUCAGGUAAUUAUAUCAAUUCUUUUUGGGAUGUUGAGAGAAAAUUUAUCAAAUUCAAUACAAAUUUGCCAGUAUUUCUUAAUACAGUACACUUUAUUAUCUUUAAACAAAUUAUAUACAAUAAGCAGUUAGUUUUUUCUUUUUGUUCAAUUUCAGCAAAUUACAAUUGCCACUUGUUGUGGAACUUGCAAUGUAUCUUCUGCCAAUUGCUAUCUAUCUAUUUUGCAAUACUGUGGUUUGAACUCAAGGCCUUCACACUGAAUUACAUCAUCAGUGUAUUUUAUUUUUUAAUUUUGAGGAAAUGAUAUAAUGUCUUGCUAAAUUCUCCAGUCUUGCCUCUAGCUUUUUAAUUUUAAUUUAAUUUAAUUUAAUUUUUUUGAGACAGAGUUCUCACUGAAUAGUCCCAGCUGGUCUUGAACUCACUAUAUAGUCAAGGUUGUCCUUGAACUUGUGGCAAUUCUCCUGCCUCUGCCUCCCAUGUGCUGGGGUUACACACAUGUGCCAUUAUGUCUAGCUUGGCCCCAAAAUUUGAUCUUUCUGCCUCAGCCUCCCAAAGUACUAAAAUUAUAAGUUGCGUGCCACCAAAGUUGACUUUUAAAAGUAUUUUAAUUUUUUAAUAUUAUUAUAUGUUUGUGAGACAUAAUACUUUUAUUUUUGAGAGUUGGUGCAAAAAGACAUAUAUGGUACAUAUAUAUAUAUAUAUAUGUAUAUAUAUAUAAAACAUCUUGACCCUUUCUACUCCUUCCCGCCGCCUUUCCUCUUUGUUUUCUGAUUGCCUUCCCAUUUCCACAAAGUCUGCAUCCCUCUUUCCUCUCAUUUGUCUUAUUUUGCUUUUAAAAUAUUUACAUUUUGGGUUUCUCAUAUCCUACAUGUAAGAACAAUGGCCUACUAGAGAAAUUAUUCAAGCGACCUUCUAUGCCUGGUAUUUUACAUACCAUUAUGGGCUCACACUGCAUCUGUUUACCUACCAGUGACUCAUACUUGUCCUUCUGUCUGGCUCAGCAGUGCAUCACACUUUCUGUACUGAUCUGUUAAUGGGCAUAGAGGUUCUUUCUACAAUGUAGCUAUUGUAAAUUGUGUUGCUAUAAAUUUGAGUAUGCACAUGGCAUUGAAAUAUGACCUUUGCUCUUUCAGGAAGAUAGACAAAAGAGUAUAGCUGGGUCAAAUGGCAUUUCUAGUUUUAGUUUUUUGUACAUUCUUCAUACUGAUUUCUCUAGUGGUCAUACCAGUUUACAUUCUCACCAACACUAAAAAAAGCAUUCCUGUCAUAGAACUAACAUUUGCACUUCUGUAUCAUUCUGUAUUAGUAAAAUGUUUUCAUUGCUGAUUUAGCAAAUGGUCCGUACUUAUUUUACACUAGAAAGAUAAUUUAGUUAUGUUGCAAUUAAAAUGAAAUCUUUUGCUGAAGUAGGAGGAUCACUGCAAGUUCGAGACCAGCCUGGGAUACAAAAUACAGCCUUAACUGCAUAGUGAGACCCUGUCUCAAAAACACAAAAAAAUAAAAUAAAAUAAAAUAAAAUGAUAUUUUUCUUUCA